AUUUUAAUAGUUUAAAAUAAAAACAUUGAUAUUGUAAAUCAAAAUUAUAAAAAUUUAUUUAAAAUAA
rnacentral:tRNA from 1 species